rnacentral:rRNA from 1 species
UAGAAGACACAAUACCCCCAUCUUACUUUAUUAAGACAAAUGACUAUGCAGUAUGGUCUGUCUUAGUGCCCAUUAGCUAGCCUAAUGGAAAAAUCAACCACUCUUAUUAAUAACCCCAUAAAUAGUACUCUCAUUAAUUAAAACAUUUUUCCCCCCUAGUAAGAGCGACUGAAAAG